UGCAGUCGAACGGAAAGGCCCUUCGGGGUACUCGAGUGGCGAACGGGUGAGUAACACGUGGGUGAUCUGCCCUGCACUUUGGGAUAAGCCUGGGAAACUGGGUCUAAUACCGAAUAUGACCACGCACUUCCUGGUGUGUGGUGGAAAGCUUUUGCGGUGUGGGAUGGGCCCGCGGCCUAUCAGCUUGUUGGUGGGGUAAUGGCCUACCAAGGCGACGACGGGUAGCCGGCCUGAGAGGGUGACCGGCCACACUGGGACUGAGAUACGGCCCAGACUCCUACGGGAGGCAGCAGUGGGGAAUAUUGCACAAUGGGCGCAAGCCUGAUGCAGCGACGCCGCGUGAGGGAUGACGGCCUUCGGGUUGUAAACCUCUUUCAAUAGGGACGAAGCGCAAGUGACGGUACCUAUAGAAGAAGGACCGGCCAACUACGUGCCAGCAGCCGCGGUAAUACGUAGGGUCCGAGCGUUGUCCGGAAUUACUGGGCGUAAAGAGCUCGUAGGUGGUUUGUCGCGUUGUUCGUGAAAACUCACAGCUUAACUGUGGGCGUGCGGGCGAUACGGGCAGACUAGAGUACUGCAGGGGAGACUGGAAUUCCUGGUGUAGCGGUGGAAUGCGCAGAUAUCAGGAGGAACACCGGUGGCGAAGGCGGGUCUCUGGGCAGUAACUGACGCUGAGGAGCGAAAGCGUGGGGAGCGAACAGGAUUAGAUACCCUGGUAGUCCACGCCGUAAACGGUGGGUACUAGGUGUGGGUUUCCUUCCUUGGGAUCCGUGCCGUAGCUAACGCAUUAAGUACCCCGCCUGGGGAGUACGGCCGCAAGGCUAAAACUCAAAGAAAUUGACGGGGGCCCGCACAAGCGGCGGAGCAUGUGG
rnacentral:rRNA from 1 species